rnacentral:rRNA from 1 species
UACGAAGGUUGCAAGCGUUACUCGGAAUUACUAGGCGUAAAGGGCAGGUAGGUGGUUUGGUAAGUCUGUUGUGAAAGCUCCUUGCUCAACGGGGAGAGGUCAACAGAUACUGCCAGGCUUGAGUCUAGGAGAGGGUACUGGAAUUCCCGGUGUAGCGGUGAAAUGCGCAGAGAUCGGGAGGAACACCAAUGGCGAAAGCAGGUACCUGGACUAGUACUGACACUCAGCUGCGAAAGCUAGGGGAGCAAACAGG